GACGUAGGAUGCAAGCGUUGUCCGGAUUUAUUGGGCGUAAAGAGUUCGUAGGUGGUUCGUUAAGUCUGAUGUUAAAGACUGGGGCUCAACCCUGGAAGUGCAUUGGAUACUGGCGGACUUGAGUGUGGUAGAGGCAAUCGGAAUUCCAGGUGUAGCGGUGAAAUGCGUAGAUAUCUGGAGGAACACCGGUGGCGAAGGCGACAUCCUGGACCGGUAUUGACGCUGAGGCGCGAAAGCCAGGGGAGCAAACGGG
rnacentral:rRNA from 1 species